rnacentral:tRNA from 1 species
CGGGAUGUUGCCUAGUGGCUAAGGCGCUUGCUUUGGGAGCAAGACAUCGGAGGUUCGAGUCCUCUCGUCCCGA